rnacentral:lncRNA from 1 species
CCGCACGGUCUGGGGGCCCCAGUCGGGGAGGCGCGCGUGGGCGCGGCCCUUUGUCCGCGGUUUGGACGCGCUCUUGAAGCCUGGGCGGCCCGGCCGCGAGGUGUUUUGCUCACCCUCGCUGGGCAGCAGGCCGCCUAGCCCAGGAGCCGAAGAGGAGGCUUGGCUUUCUCUGAUGCUGGUUCUUGUGAAUCCUGCCUUCGAAAAUCCCACGGUUGUUUAUCAUUUGUAAUCGGCUCAGCUCCCGGGAAAACAACCCACUGCGCUUCUGUUCCAAGUCACCCAUUCAAUAAAUAAUUGAGCACCUGCUGUGUGCUCUGAUGU